GGCGAUGUAGCUCAGCUGGUUAGAGCACUCGGCUCAUAUCCGAGGGGUCAUUGGUUCAAAUCCGAUCAUCGCUA
rnacentral:tRNA from 5 species